GCGCCGCGUGGGCCGGGCGGGAGGACCCGUCCCCGCUCUCUCCGCGCGGGGGCUCUGGGGACGCCGGGAACUCGGGCGUCCGUCCCUGCGCGGCGGCCGCCGGAGCCGGGGAGGGGGGAGAAGAGGCCGGGGACCGAACUGGGCCGUGGAGGCGCCGCGGGCGGCCUGCGGGACCGGCCGGAAGGGAGGAGGCACCCGGCCGCGAAACGCGUCCCCAAAGUCGCUGCACGCGGCGGGACGCGGGCGCCACCGCCAGCGAGGGCGUGGGCGAAGAAAGCUGGUUCCUGUCCGCAGCAGGACUGAAUGCUGGAUACCUGGUCCAUGGCCUGUGGGUCACACUGUAAGGACAGAGUUCUUAUCCUGCUGUCGCAUUAGAAGGAUUCUGAAGUCAAAAGCUUUGUAAACUCUCACACUUACUAUGGUGCUGGAUUCCAGGGUGACACAGUUUUGAAGAGACAAGUUUACAGACAUUCUGGCCAACGGACUGUCCACUGUCUUUUCUCGUAAGAGGCUCUCGAGAAUGGAAGCCACAUGCUACCAGCAACACAGAGGAGCCUGGUGGCCUGGCGUGCACACAUGACCUCCAGUUCCUUCUCCGCUCUUGUGAGUGCAUCUGCCCGAUGCAGCUUUGCAGCCCCUUGUGGGAAGAGGCGAAUCCCUCUCUCCAUCCUGUGAACCUGGCGUGAGUGGGUUGAGAAGGCUGUCCUUUCAGUGGGCCUUGGUGACGGGGGGUGUCACAGCCAGGGUGGCAGGAGAGGAGGGUUUACCUGCGGGGGAGAUGCUUGUCCCUGAACUUGGAAAUUAGUUACGUGUGGAAAGAUUGAUCACAUAAUGAACUGUGCUAAAGAUAAUGGGAGUCCGGCUUACUGCUGUUGAAGGGAGUUGCCAGUACAGAAAUUUGGAGAGCGAGGUGUGAAUCGGGUCAGGUGUGUGGGUGUGAACUGAUGGUUUUCAGUGCACAUUCAUAUAAAUAUGUGUGUGUUUUUAUGUCUGUGUCUAUAAACGUGUCUGUUCGUAUAUAUGGGUGCACACGUGUGUGUCGCACUGAGGGAGCCUGCGUGGGCAGCUGGUACCACACCAGCAAGAAGCACACCUCCCACCCAGAUCUUGGCUUCUAAAGACCAUUUUCCAGCACAGGUGGGAGCAGAGGUCCUUGGAGAAAUGGCCGGUUCCAGGCCUGGGACAGAGAAAGUGCGCCGGCAAGCAGGGAGGUGCCUUCUGACCUUUGAGGUUCGGUGGCAGAAGCGGCCCUGCUCGUGAGGGAGGAUUACACAGGGGAGAUGAGGUUGGGGGCACCUGGGAACCGUGAAGGACGAGUGGGAGUUUGCCAGGCAGCGCGCUGAGGAAGGAAGCAGUAGCUGAGGGGCAGUGGCGGCCUUACGAGUGAAGAAGGGGAUGGAUGACACCUGCCGCGGAGCAGUGGGACGUGUUUGGCCUACAUGUGCUGAAGAGAAAAACGGGGCUGGAUGGUGAUUGGCCUGUGUGAGCCACACGCAGGGACUUAGACUUGACUCUUUUGACCAUGUUGUCUGUACCCACCUACCGGAGCCCCCCCCAGAUCUCAGCGACUGCGGACAACAUGCGUCGUUCCCCGGUUUCUGCUGGUGGGAGUCUGGGAGCCACUGGGCUGCGGGGCUGCGGCUCAGGGUCUCCAGGAGGCCGCAGUAAGGGCCUUGGCCAGGCCUCUGGGCAUCUCCAGGCUGACAGGGAGGCUCUCCCUCACGAGCUAGCUGGCAGGCCUGGGUCCUUUCCAGCCGUUGGCAGAGACCUCAGUCGCUCUCCGCAUGGGUGUCUCCUUGGAGAGUCGCACAGCAUGGCCGCUGGCCUCCCUGCCCACAAGGGGUUGGGGGGAGAGAAUGCACCAGAGAGUCCCCCAGGCAGACGCCACAGUUCCCAUAACUCACCGUAGAAAGAACAGCCCAUGGCUUCCUCUGAGUUGUGUUCACUGGAAGCAAGUCACCCAAUUGAGCCUUUGCCCAGAGGGCAGGAAUCACACAAGGACAUGAUCCCGGGGGACAGGAUCGAUGGGGCUAUCUGAGAGGGUGCCCCCAGAGCCCAGGCUGGGAACGGGGAGGGCACAGUUCUGCACACAGCUGCAGGGAGGGUGGGUGAGGGCAAGCCUGGGGGGGGUGAGGUCAUUUAGGAGGUGGCCAUCCAAGAUAAUUGCAUGGGAAAGAAGGAAGGGACCUUGUUACCAAUACCUGGGAGCGGUGCGGGUGGGAGGAAGGAGGGCCGGGGGCCCCCAGGGGUGUGGGUGCCUCCCAGAUCCAGGUGAGCGCCGGCCACAGCGGCGCUGCUUUCCCAGGACUUACAUUGGCUUACGGACGACAGUGGCUCGAAACCAGCAUCUGCGGAGUUUUGCAGGAAAACAAGGGCUUGUUUGAAAAAUACAUGCUCAGGCUGUGCCAGUCCCUUCCCUUGGAUGUCACACCAGGUACCCGGCCCUAACUGCUCAUAGUGACGCAGCCAUGGAAGGUUGCUGGGUUCGCGGGUGGCCGGACCGCACCGGGCUGCUCAGCUCCAGCCAGUCCCUCGUGGCGCCGGCGCUGGGAUCUUCAGUCAGGGCCUCGGAAGGACCCUACUCCUUCCUGCAUCUCCCCUUUGUUCGACAGCUGACCUGAGCACCAGUGACUUUACAGAAUCAUGUUUUCACAGAGAUGUUGGGUUUUUAAUUUCAGGCCUGUCAUCGGCAAGCCAGUCUAAACAAGGUUACCUGUGACUCUGGGGCGUGGACAUACCGAGCCACAGGACUGGGGAGGGGAGGCCACAGGCCAUCCCUUGUGGAAACCGUAGAGAGAAAAAGCAUGUCAGGUUUGCUUCACUCCAGUCUUUCCCUUGCAUCAUUACGGUCAAAGUUAAAAACAAGCGUGAAGACUGCCCUUUAAUCCUGGUGAUUUCUGGGAAUUUAGCCGUCUGGGUGAGUGGUUAAAACAUGCUGCUGGAAGGUGUGAACCGGACCUCGGGCUUCCCUCCCAGAAGGAGGGCUGGUGGCCACCACUUCAGGGCACACCCAGCUCAGAGCCUGUAGAGCCCUGUACGGUGUUAUGCUGGUGACACCAGGUGUUGAAAGUAAAAAAUGUAAUUUAUUCCACAUUUUUAACAUGGUUAUACUUGUUACCUAGUAUUUGUACUUAAGGCUGACCUUGAAUCAUAAGCGAUUAUAAACAUGAUGCUCCUAGAACAUUUAUAUCCGGUGAUCUUGUUUAGGGAACGCUCGUACAGAAAAUGAUGGGGCACUUGAAAGGCCUGAUACAUCCUAAGCAUGGAAGGGACCACCUUCCAGUUUCCUAGGAGCUUUUUUACAUUAUCUUUAUUUUUAUGUAUUUUAUUUUCCUUUUUCUGUCAGUUGGACAAUUGAAGUGUUUUUGAAGAUACAGGUUAUCACACAUGUUAAAUGUUUAAUAUUUGGAAAAUUUGCUUUUCUGGUUAAUUGAACUUUCCAUAUAGAUGAAGGUUAAGCAAAAAUCUUUUCUAGAAAAUCUCAUGAAGUAAAUUAGUUUGCCUUCCCUGUUUUUCAAGUGUACAGAGCAUAAUGAAGCCUCUUUCACUGCAAAAUUAGUAAUUCUAAAGUAGCGUCAGCAUGAAACUAAAGGACCUUGCUCACAAUAGGAAAGAUAUGGAAACAACCUAAGUGUCUGUCAACAGAUGAAUGAAGUGUGUGUAUGUAUAAUAUUCCAUUAUAUAUGGAGGUAUACAUAUAUAACAUAAUGGAGUUUUAUAUGAUAUUAUUCAUGUUAG